ensembl:lncRNA
GCCCAUUUGUUCAUUAUUAUAAGUAUUACAGAAGUUUAAAUCAAAGUAUAUGUUAAUAUAAAUUAAGUACAGAUAUUAAUCCCAUAUCAAAAUAAUGAUUACACUACUCAAAAAAACUAAAGGCCUCCUCCAAACUUGUAUUAGCUCUGCAUAAUGUAAAAAUUCAAUGAGUAAAAACAAGUAAACACUAACAUACAUAGUCAAUGAAGCUCUAAAUGACCUUUGAGGAGUGUUUUGUUUAUUCAGUUUAGAAUGUUGCUAAGGCAGCUGCCAGACAUCAAUUACUCCAAACCCAUGAAACCUCCCUAAUUACUCAAAUUGGUCUAUUUUGUUGUAAUAGUUUUGGUUUAAACAGGAAGAAAAAUUAGGAUUGAACUUUUAAACAUAGGAAUAUAAGAAUAUAAAUCAACUCGUAUAUAAUUUUCUGACCUCACCAAGCAAAUAUAUAUGAACACUGAUAAUACACUUACUUCCAUCAGCGAGCCUUGCGAUCACUAUCCCACUGCCGCCCCUCGCAGUGAUCAUUAAACCUGUUUUGAAGACUGACAGGAUGGCCAGUCCCUGAGCCUUGGCAAUGACAUGGUUUUAUCAAAAACGGUCUUUAUUCGCCAGGACCGGAGACAUCUCGAAGUUUCAAGUUGACUUUUAUGCAGUCUCACCUGGUGCAGGUAAGAGAAGUUAAAAGCGGUAGUGUACACUUCCGACACACCUGCCAAACCUGUUUACUUUACUCUUAAAGGAGCCGUAAGGAAAUAAUACCAAAUAUAAAAGUGCUUCAGUUCGCUUGGUAAAUAAUAUUCUCGAAGGAAUGCCGUGAAAAACAGGUAGCAUGUCACAAUGAUAGACCAUUAUUUUAAGCUACACAGGAUUCAAAGUUAUAGUCAGCAUUUUUGAUUCAGGCAACAAUGGGACACAGCAAGGAAAAUGACGUUUGACAACAAUAGGACCCCUAGCGCGCUCUCGUGUACACAGAAGCACGCGUGAAAGCAAACAGACAUGCAUUUGUGAUGACAAGUGAUAUUUCUCAUUUAUUGCAAUGUUGAUUACGGUCUUUAAAUAGACGGUAUGCUUGAAUAAAAAAAAUAUUAUUAGGAGCAAUCAAUAUGUAAUAAAACCAUUCCCGCUGAUAAAAAACGCCUAAAAGCGGUAAGAGUUUAUCUUCCCAGAAAAAUGUAAUAAGUUUGUGUCAAAAUGUUUGUGUGAGUUAACAACGAGAUUUAUAUGUUUAAAAAACUUUGCCAGCAAGGUUUUACAUUUUGGUGAUUUGUCUUUGUCUCACGGUUACAGAUUAUCUUCAGUGUGAUUUUCCUCCUUAUAAGGAAUCAUCUGCGGUGAGCACAAUGUAAAUGCGUGGUACAUCUGGACUCAAAGGUUUUUAGAAACGUGUCUCAUUUACACUGUUGUUGUUACAAUCUAUAAACAGAGCUCUAAGGCCUGUUUUCCAUUGGCACAUUCCUAUUGUGCCAAAAAGUUUGUUGUC